rnacentral:rRNA from 1 species
UACGGAGGGUGCAAGCGUUAUCCGGAUUCACUGGGUUUAAAGGGAGCGUAGGUGGGUUGGUAAGUCAGUGGUGAAAUCCCCGAGCUUAACUUGGGAACUGCCAUUGAUACUAUCAGUCUUGAAUACUGUGGAGGUUAGCGGAAUAUGUCAUGUAGCGGUGAAAUGCUUAGAUAUGACAUAGAACACCAAUUGCGAAGGCAGCUGGCUACACAUAUAUUGACACUGAGGCUCGAAAGCGUGGGGAUCAAACAGG